GGGCCCAUAGCUCAGUUGGGAGAGCGUCGCGUUCGCAAUGCGAAGGUCGCGGGUUCGAGCCCCGCUGGGUCCA
rnacentral:tRNA from 1 species